GUCUGUUUAUGUGGUCACAUCAACCACUGUGUGACUCAAGGGACAAACAAAUUGAUCUUUGGGAAAGGCACUCAACUCUCUUUGCUUUCAAAAAAAAAACAAGAGCCAGUCUUUUACAAAUUGAAUGACUCCUACUGUUUGGCAACCGAUUUCACAAACCACAGUGCUGUAAAUUUCAAAGAUGCUACACCAGUGCGAUAUUCAAACCAAGAUUACUACAGCAGCUUCAGCUUUAGUGAUUCAAAUGGAUGCGAUGAAAAAGACUGUGAGUCAGGAUCUUCCGGUCCAAGUGGUUUUGAAUCAGGUGAGUUUGCUUUUAUUAGCACAUUUAUAGUCUGCUGUGUGUUUCUUUUCAUUUGCAGUCCAUUACUACUAGUCUGUUACUGCCUAACAUCUAGCACUAUACAACAAUAA
ensembl:lncRNA